rnacentral:lncRNA from 12 species
GUUUUCUUCAUGAAACAGAUUUCAGUUAACAAUUAACUGAAUUCCUCAAAAUGCCCUUAAGUGUUUAGAGGUCAAAAAAACCUUCAAAAUGCUCAGGGAAGAGACAACCCCUCCAAAAAGCAGAAAACAGGCCUCAAAACCUCUGUGAACAUCAAAAAGAAGAAUAAAAGUAGAAAGUGUGGGCAAAGUGGAGAAAGAGAGUCUGAUCUAAAAGAACACGAUAAGCAUUUGCCCAAAGGUUGCAAAUGGAGUUUUCAAGUGUCUGACUUGCAACAUUUGAGCAGCACCGAGCGCAUAACAGUUCUCCAAGCAAAAAUGCAGGAAAUCCGGAAACGUUACCUGCUGUUGAAAGCUGAGUUGGCUGCCAUUGACCGGACAAAGCGCUUAAAGAAAAAGAAGGAGCAGGAGAGGGCUGCUGCCAUGUCAAGUUCUUCACCAAAUGGAAUGCCAGGGGAAUGCAGCAGAAAGCAAAAGUGUGGCCCAGCAUUAAUGCAGCACCAGUCAAAACAAAGCUGAAUUUUGAUUCCUGCUCAUUAUGAUAGUUUGAAAAUGUCAUAGCAAGCUCCUGAAAGUAUCUGCUGACUCCUUGUAUAAACUGCCUGGAGGUCAGAUUCAUUGGAAUUGAAACUGGAAUAAAUCUUCUAG